rnacentral:lncRNA from 1 species
CUGACCCUCAGUGAGCCCCAGCCCCACCAACAAGUUGCAGUGGAAACAAAGGCAGUUCUUGCUUCAGAUUCUUCAGAGAUAGCAAUAUGUCAGGAGCCCCUGGAGAGGCUGAAAGUAAAUGAAUCAGUGCUAGAAAGUGAAGGAUAUCAUCCGUGCUGAAUGGUGAAAAGGAGUCCUGAACAGUAUCUUCAUUGAUUUUCCUGUAAUUGACACAGAGCUCAGCUCGCCGGAGGCUGCGGCAGGAGCAGGGAGGCCCAGGUACCGCUCCCGCCUCAAUUAGGCACCUCGGGGCUGGGGGCAGCUCCAAAGGAGCCAGCGGCUCACAGGGUGCCUCUGCAAGCUGCCUUGAAGAUGAGGGGCAGCUUGGAAGGACGUGACCCAGGCUGCCAGCAGCUCCCCACCAGUCCUGGCCUAGCCCCAGGUGCACCAAGCCCUCAGCUGGUGAGAAACACUGGCCCAAAAGUCAGGAAAAUUCAGCAGUGGCAGUGGCAGGAAAUCUGGUUAGCUGAGGUCUGAGGCUCUGCAAGGAGAAAUUGCCUCGUGUGUGAAAGCUCUCAGCUGGGCAGUGGGACAGAGCCCGCUCUCUGGGCACCCAUGGACACCCCGUCCUGGGGCAGAGUCCCCGGGCAGCAGGGGUGGCACUGCGGGAGGGAUGGGUCCCAUCGAGCAGAAGCACGGCCGCACCACACGAAAGGAACCUGGAGCAUGGAUCACUUCACAGCCCAGCGGAAGAGCCACCUGUCAGGGCAGUGGGACAUGUUCCACAGUGACAUCCCAGCGGCCAGAGCCUCUACGCCCCCGGAGCAGAGCACGCAGCCGUGGUUUGACUCAGCUCCUGUGGACCCUCAGACAGCCAAGGAGAGCAGCAGAAGGAAUCUGGUGUAGAUGGAGGGUGACCGUUUCCAGCCUCCAUGUUCAGGAGCAAUGCUUUAUCCAAACCUCCAGUUUGGGAGAAAAAGGUAUUUAAUCUUUUUUUAAUCCCUCAGGACUCAGACCUCUGAGCUGGAGCCCACCACCUCCCACAUCCCAAGGGACAAGACACAGGCACAGAGGGCUGGUUUGCAUCCAGCCCUUCCCUAUAUCCCAGGUGGGCUUUGCUGCCAGCUGCCUCUCCAGAUCCAUCCUGGAGGGAAGUGACCUGCAGCCUGCCGAGGUCCUGCAGGCUUUGGCUUGGAAAGGACCUUCAAGACCAUCCAUCCCAACCUCCUGCUGGGACACUGGGACAGGCAGGUGUGAAGCUGGAGCUCUCCCUGUCUCCCAUCUCAUCAUCUGUGUAGUUACUCUCACUAUAGAGAGUAACUCCCAGCAGCUGCAGAGGGAAUGCUGUCCCUGACACGCAGGGUGUGGUUCUGAGCCCACAAGUCCCAUUUAUCCUCCUUACCAGUCCCUCCAUCAUGUGUCUGACAGAAUUCCAUUAAGGAGCUGCUGUCCUGUGCUGUGUCCAGGCCCAUGGCAGGGGCUGGAACUGCCUGAGCUUUACGGUCCCUUCCAGCCCAAAGCACUGCAGGACUCCAGGAUUCUGUACCCCCCCUCCCAGAGCGGUGCUCCAGGAGCAGGUGAUGGCUCUGGACAACUGAGACCUACAGAAAAUCGACACUGAAAGGAGCAAUCACAGCAGCGUGGCUGCAGCUCUUCCCAUUUCCCCUGGCAAACCUUCCCCCGGGACUGUGUGCACCUGACCCUAAACCUUCCCCAUUUUCCAAGCCAAUGCACUUGAUGGGAACUCAUCUCUGCUCUCCCCACGGCUUCCCUGGCAUCCCCGGGGUGGGACACGGCCGCUUUCGGCUUGGCUGAACCCCCGACUCCAUUUCACAGAUUGCAUUUGGGCUCUGCUUCCAUUUGCUCCCAUUCCUUGCAGCUCAGCAGACACCUCACCUACGGAACACUCUGUGCUCCUCAGGAAGACAGGGAUUUAUUUCCCUCGGUCUCCCUGUGGAGAACAGACCUGUGCUGGACACACACCCCAGGAGGGCUGAGGAAACCCCUCUGGCACCCUGGGGCCGUCCCACUCCCCAUCUCUCCCUCCUGCCUCUGCCUCCUCCCAUGAGGCCACCAGCAGCAGCACCUUUGCUGCUUGCUCCUGGAAUAAAGUGCAUUUUUAACCCA